rnacentral:lncRNA from 1 species
AGAUCCAGGGUGUUCUGUGCCUGAUGGAAGGAACAGUGGUUUAAGAAGCAGAGUACUCACGUUAAAAUAACAGCUCUAUUGCUAAUUAAAGAAUUCUGUCAAGGAUGCUGAACUGAAGUUUAACAGUGCUGUUGGAAUGACUUGGGAUCAGUGGGCCUUGGCUGUGAACCUUAAUGGUCAGCUUUUAUUCAACUGUACUUUUCUUCUGUCGAUUAAUGUGUUCCAUAUUUCCACGUUGUUUGGAGUGCUCUGUAGCUAUCUACAGAUACACCAGAAGAAGGCAUUGGAUCUAAUUAUAUAUGGUUGGCAGCCAUCAUGUGGUUGCUGGUAAUUGAACUCAGGACUUUGGAAGAGGAAACGGUGCUCUUAACUGCUGAUUUAGCUCUCCAGCGUUGUUUCUACUUUUUAAAUUGUUUAUUAACUGAGGAGUGAAGCUAAUACUUUAAAAAGACUUUAUCACUACUGCCACAUAUAAGCUUUUAUUGUUGAAAUUCCUAAUUUAGAUUAAUAUGAUUAAUUAAAGUUUAUGUAUUGUUGAAUAUCAUCAUGGACAUUCACAUACACAUAUUUUUCAUUGUUAUAAUCCAACAGUAUAUUCCUCAAUUUGUAUAUCUUAUUGCUUGGCAUUGUAACAGAUUCAUUGAUAAAAAUAUCUUCUCUUUGUUAACAAAAUGGAAAGGAUUCAUAGCUCUCUCUCAUUUUACAAAGCUACUAGAACCAUCUUAGCAUUCAGUGAUUCAACCUCCAUUCUGAUGACUAAAUCUCUUUCUAAAUAUUUCCUAACAUUUCCCCCUCUAUCAAAACAAUGGGAUGAAGUCUCGGCACUGAUAGUGAAAUACCUUCAACUGGAAAUUAUAUCCCACAUGAGUUUUUCAGGGGCAUACCAUUUCCGAUUACACCAAACUACAUCUGCUAAGUGUUUUAUAACCUCAGAAUUAAUUCUAACUCUACCAAAUAGCAACUGAGAUCCGCGACAUUGGGUAAAAUCAUUUGACCGGUUGCUUUGGCUUUCUUUCUGUAAACGAAGAUGAUAUUCAUAGCCAUCUGUCACAAAGUUGCUAUGAGGAUUAACUAAGCUAACAGACUAAUAUGUUGAGUGUCAGCACCGAGACAAACAGGGCUUAAAAUAUAAGUCCAGUGUAAGCAUAAACUAUCUCCACUUCCCCUCUUGAAAACAGUUCUGCUUUUUGAAAUACUGCUUAUUCUCCCCACAGAUUUUAUUUUUCACGAUCUGUUCAUGCCUUGAAUUGUUUUUGUAAGCCUGUAAUUUUUCCUCUGAUUUGAAUUUUACUGACUCCCGAUUGCUGUUCAAGACUUCCUUUAAAGUUCUUAGUCUGGUAAAUCUGAAUUUCAUUUGCAUUCAUCUUCACAUCCCAGAUUUCCCUCUUCCUGAGUACUUGCUUUCAUUUCAAUGCAUCUGCAUUCUCUAAGGUCUAACUUAUCACAUGAAUCUUAUAUUUUCUUCUGUUCAAAAUUGUUUGCAAUGACUGUUCUAACACAGAGCGAUUAACAUGGCCUCUACCUAGAGCCUGCACUGCUAUGGACUUGUGUUCAUAAUACUGGAAGGUAUUUUGAAUGUUACCAAAGGAGAAAGGUCAACACCAACCCAGUUACAAAGUUUUCAGUCUACAAUGAUGUUCUGCCUGCGAGAUGUGCUAGUGCAAUAGUCGCAAAAAGCUUGUGGAAGUAACCACCAAACUACAUGACUUGAUUUAGGCCCACUCCAUGAAAUGGAGUCUGUUUGCAUCAAGAAGAAGCUAAGACUAGUUAGGCCAAAGGCCUGUACCAAUGACCAAAUAUUACUGUUCAGCUAAAGGAAAAUAGCCAUAAAAUGAUUGUUACUGGCAUUCUGGUAUAGCAGUAGAAUUUAUGAUGUUACAAUAGAAAAUAAAGAUUGGUACACAAAUAUCAGAAAUAGCGAUGAUUCCCAAUUAAGGUAUAUACAAAAUGAUUUUAAAUUAAGGAUGAGCUAUGUUAUAAAAGCUAAAAAGAAACAAAAUAUGGAGAGAUCUCUGGAAAAAUCCUUGUGGAUGACCACUACAACACUCCAGUGAGCUUUGAAAGAACUAGUGGCAACUACUAACAGCCAAUAGUGGAAAUAACCAGCCAGAUUUUACAAUCUAAGAUGAGCCAUUGGACCUCAUUGAUUUCAAUUUUACAAAUGUUGGUAUAAAAACGUAAUUAUUUUGAUAUAAUUUACCAUUACUUGGCUUACCUAUUAAAAUCUAUUUUUCAUGAUUUUGACCAUUUCUUUCAAUCCUUCUCUUAGUGAGCUUAAUGUUAUAUGGUUGAAAUUUCAAAGCACAAUUGUGUUUUUUAACUUUGUUCUCAAUAGCUGAUAUCAAUCUGAAGAUGUUUGAAUUUAAGACUGAAGUAAGAUCGGAUGCUGAAAUGGUUGCUGGACUUCAGAGCACAGACAGAGACUGUUAGUUCUGCCCUGAUCAUGCUCUGUUAUCUCAUUUUGGAUUUGUAGAAGCCAUACAUGGAUGUGCAUGUUUCAGUCUUUAACUUUCCAUUGGAUCUGUGUUUUUCCUUCUACUCCUAUAUGUUUUAUCAAAGAAAGAGGAAUGGAGGACAGCAAAAAUCCAAUGCUCUUCAGAGUCUUGACUCCUGGAAGACUCUUACGGAAGAAAAGAUGAAAGCUUUCUGUGCUUCAGGAAAGGUGGUCCCGGUAUAAACCAUGGAAUAUUUCACAGCACUGUUGCAGAAGUCAAGUUGUUGUUUCACGAUUUACAUGUCUUUCUCAGCACAUUUUAAUGUGCAUAUUUACCUGGAUAUAGCUGUGAUAUAAAGAAUAUAGUGAAUAAGUGAAUAAUUUAUUUAUCAGC